rnacentral:lncRNA from 1 species
AGGACCAUAGCAAACUUGUUUAACUCUUGCUCUGAAAUCCAUGUUCUGUGUAUCUGUGUAACAAGGGAGAAGAGUGGGAAUGGGAAGUGACACAAGAAGAAGGGACACUGUUUGGAUGACUGAAUUUGUGGAAACUUGGAAACUGCCUCACCUCCCAGGAAGAUUGGUAACUGCUAAUAUGCAACCUUAGAUUGUUGAACUCAGCCUGAACCCAGUUUAUUUUUAUUUCUGCAUAGAGGACGUGAAUUAUCAUUCUGACACCAGAUCUGAGUAAGCAGAUGCACUCCCUGUGAUCACACGUGUUCUAUUGCAGAGGCAGCAGCUCCAGCACUUCCUCCCAGCACUCUGCUCCUAUAUAUAUUCCUGAGUGGCAUGGAUAGGUUUGCAUGGGCACGUGGGAAAAGGAUUGUGUGCCCUGGGGAGAAGUGUGUAGGAGGGAAUUCUUCUCAGACAGCAGAGUCUGCGGUUCACAGCUGAGAACGACCCUCCAUUGAUUGACCACCAUUGUAGCAGUAUUUUCAGCUGGUUUCUCUGUUGCCUCUGUUUCUCUUAUAAAAACAAAAUUGCAUAUUUUCCAAGGAAACUGUCAGAAACUGUAUUAAACAAAUGCACGCUUUAGAAAAAUCGCUAAUUUUAGAAUGAUCAUAAAUAUUUAUAGCAGACAGACGAUAAACAGCACCUUAGUGACCAUGCUCUGUUUAUAUAAAUCCCUCCUAAUUUAGAAAAUGUUGAAUUGAUAGACUGAGACAGCCAUAGUCAACAAGUGCAUAUUUGAGAAAACUGCUCUACAGUCUGCUGUGACCAAAAUUUCCUCAUUCGUACAGCAUUCAGCUUUUGUUUCUGAUUCAACCUACUUAUAUGAGUUGCAUGCCAUAUUUUUUAUAACAC